CACACACACACAGAUAACUGAGGGUUGCCACGGGAACGCCUACUCAAGGCUCGCGGGCACUAUCAUCUCACGAGCACGCCAGCUUGGCAAGCUUUGGCACGCGCCUACACGCCCUGUGAAGUUUAAGACAUCCGCGUUCACGCAGGGAAUCCGUUUACAUUACGCCCUCACACACACGCGCAUACACACUCCAGCUGGAGAGUAGAGAGGGGCCUGGGCUGCGCGCGACUCCGUUUCUGAGUGUCAGGGAAGCGAAGCCUCCGAACCACCCCCGCUCGCGACCGAUCCAUCACUCAUCCAGCCUGCGUUUCACUCCAGCGCGCACUCCGAGGUCCCCGUAGCCACCGACGACACCCCGAGAGCCCGGUACCGUGAUGGCGGACUCCUCAAGUAGCACUAGCGCGGCGGCGGCCGAGGCAGCGGACUCCGGUAGCAACGCAGCCGGGGCGAGGGAGGCAGGCGCCGGGGCAGGAGAAGGGACGGCACCCGCGGGAUCCAAACCGGGCCUCGAGUCCGUGAAGGGGCAGAACUUCGACGUCGGUCCCCGUUACACCGACCUGAUGUACAUUGGAGAGGGCGCCUACGGCAUGGUGUGUUCUGCGCAUGACAACAUAAACAAGUUGCGUGUGGCGAUCAAGAAGAUCAGUCCGUUCGAGCACCAGACGUAUUGCCAGCGGACGCUGCGCGAGAUCAAGAUCCUGCUGCGCUUCAGACAUGAGAACAUCAUCGGCAUCAACGACAUCCUGCGCGCCCGCCAGAUGGACUACAUGAGGGAUGUCUACAUCGUGCAGGAUCUCAUGGAGACAGACCUGUACAAGUUGCUGAAGACGCAGCAGCUGAGCAACGACCACAUCUGCUACUUCCUCUACCAGAUCCUCCGAGGCCUCAAGUACAUCCACUCAGCCAACGUGCUGCACAGAGACCUCAAGCCCUCCAACCUACUGAUCAACACCACCUGCGAUCUCAAGAUCUGUGAUUUCGGCUUGGCCAGGAUAGCGGACCCUGAACACGACCACACUGGAUUCCUGACCGAAUACGUCGCCACACGCUGGUACAGAGCACCUGAAAUCAUGCUCAACUCGAAGGGCUACACCAAGUCUAUUGACAUCUGGUCAGUGGGCUGCAUCCUGGCUGAGAUGCUCUCCAACAGACCCAUCUUCCCCGGGAAGCACUACCUGGACCAGCUCAACCACAUACUGGGUAUUCUGGGCUCACCGUCUCAAGAGGACCUGAACUGCAUCAUCAACAUGAAGGCCAGGAACUACCUGCAGUCGCUACCACAGAAACCCAAGAUCCCCUGGUUUAAACUCUUCCCCAAGGCAGACCACAAAGCGUUGGACCUGUUGGACCGUAUGCUGACCUUCAACCCCAACAAAAGAAUCACUGUCGAAGAGGCCCUGGCACACCCAUACCUAGAACAGUACUACGACCCCACUGACGAGCCCGUAGCAGAGGAGCCGUUUACCUUCAACAUGGAGCUGGACGAUCUGCCCAAAGAGAAACUCAAAGAACUCAUCUAUCAAGAGACUGCUCGGUUCCAGUGAGGCGCUGGUGUCCCAAAUCUUCAAUCAAGAAAAAAGACGCAACUACAAUCCACACACACACACACACACACACACACACAUGCAUACAAUAUGCACACACACAUACACACGCAGAACACAUAUAAAGAUAUAUGUUAUAUAUUAAUAUUAUCACUCACUGUAACCUGACUGGUGUGUGUGCGGGUUUGAUAGAGUAUAUGUGUGUGCGUGUGUGUAUGUGUGUGUGUGUGUGUGUGUCCAAGCCAAAGUGAUGUUUAAACGGGAGGGAAAGAAUCUUUUUGUUUUUUUUAAUCUCCCUCUCCUCUCAAAGAAAAAGCAUUCCAUCCUAUUCUCUCUCUCUCUCUCUCUCUCUCUCUCUCUCUCUCUCUCUCUCUCUCUCUCUCUCUCUCUCUCUCUCUCUCUCUCUCUCUCUCUCUCUCUCUCUCUCUCCUCCCCCAAUCCCCUGCUUGCUGUCCUGGCCCUGUUCUUUAAAUGGUUGGUGUUUUUUAAAAGCUUGCUUAUGAUUGGUGGAGCUUGCAUGUGUUCUGCCAAUGAGACUUGCCAAGAGGAGGGCCCUGUGUGUGAUUGGCAGCUGUGGCAUCCACUAAUCAUGUUGCUUAAUCAGUACGCUGCACCCUCCCUCUGCUCAUAACUUUGCUCUGUGUGUGUGUGUGUGUGUGUGUUCAUGGAGACUCUUGCUCAACAUUCCCAUCAUCCUUUGCUACACAACAGCCUGUGUGUGUGUGUGUGUGUGUGUGUGUGUGUGUGUGUGUGUGUGUGUGUGUGUGUGUGUGUGUGUGUGUGUGUGUGUGUGUGUGUGUGUGUGUGUGUGUGUGUGUGUGUGUGUGUACACGUGUGCAUCUGCGUCAGCAUGAACAUCUGUGUGUGUAUGGUCUUCUAGGUGUGUGUGUGUGUGUGUGUGUGUGGUUUUGAGGUGUUUGUCCUCACCUGAUGCUGCUGUAAAUGUGUGUUGGUCCCUAACCAGUCCAGGUCUCACACACACACACACACACACACACACACACACACACACACACACACACACACACCCACACACUUUCAUGCUUCUAUCAUAUGAACAAGCAUCAUGUUAAUCUGCUUCUACUAGGGGGGGCAGGGGGCUGUUUUCAAUCACACACACACACACACACACACACACACACACACACACACACACACACACACACACACACACACACACACACACACACACAAGCCCAGUGUGUACUGGGGUGGGGGUGCGAUGGAAUCCAAUUGGCUGAACGGAGCUGAGGAUUCCGACUCCUACGUCAUUCUGAUUCUAAUUCUGAUGAUGACUAUAAUUAUUAUUAUUAUUAAUAUGAUUAUGAUGAUGAUUAUUAUUAUUAUGAUUACAAUUCUAUUGCGAUUGUUGUUCUGUUGGUGAGUUGUCUGUUUUUGUGCGUUUGUCUGGUUUUUUUUUCUUUUCUAAAAAAAAAACAGAAAAGGGAGGUGAGGAUGAUGUAUUUUUAUUUUUAGUCUGUUUUUAUUUGGUCUUAAUUUUUUUCCUCUCUGUCUCUAUGGGUGGGUGUGGUUUAACCCUGGCCGACUCCCCUAGUGGGCGGAGCUGGCUAAUAGGGGGGUGGGGUUUAUGUGGCUGCAGGUGAAUAUAGUCUGUAUUAUAUUAUAAUGGGAUUCAACAUUAUGGAAUACUCAAAACUUACUAAAGCAGAAUUCUAUACAUAUAUUCAAUAAAAAUGCUGAUACUGUUUAA